rnacentral:rRNA from 1 species
AUUGAACGCUGGCGGCAGGCUUAACACAUGCAAGUCGAGCGGAGAUGAGGUGCUUGCACCUUAUCUUAGCGGCGGACGGGUGAGUAAUGCUUAGGAAUCUGCCUAUUAGUGGGGGUCAGCAUUCCGAAAGGAAUGCUAAUACCGCAUACGUCCCACGGGAGAAAGCAGGGGAUCUUCGGACCUUGCGCUAAUAGAUGAGCGUAAGUCGGAUUAGCUAGUUGGUGGGGUAAAGGCCUACCAAGGCGACGAUCUGUAGCGGGUCUGAGAGGAUGAUCCGCCACACUGGGACUGGGACACGGCCCAGACUCCUACGGGAGGCAGCAGUGGGGAAUAUUGGAAAAUGGGCGCAAGCCUGAUCCAGCCAUGCCGCGUGUGUGAAGAAGGCCUUAUGGUUGUAAAGCACUUUAAGCGAGGAGGAGGCUACUUUAGUUAAUACCUAGAGAUAGUGGACGUUACUCGCAGAAUAAGCACCGGCUAACUCUGUGCCAGCCGCCGCCGUAACAC